GUCUGUUAAUAUGCAUGAAUUUUUUGUUUUGACAGAUUUUAUUUAACCAAAGUUAGAAGCAUGAUAGUAGAUGAAGAUAUUAUGCUGAACAAAAUUGAGUUAUCAAGUUAUGAUACAAUCUACAACAUAUUGCAUGAUAUAUUAAACAUGAGCAAGGUGGCUGCACUAGCAGCCACCUUGCUGACAUUCCCAGUUGCUGACAUUUUUCCAAAACAACAACGCAUGAAAUGUGAACGAACUUUUUGGACUAGUACCAUCAAAAUGAGGACAACUUUUUACAGCAAUUAAGAACCAUGGAUGAAUGCUGGGUUUAUCUAUAUGACUCUAAGACUAAGGAAAAUGAGCAAAACAUGGAAACAUGCCUCACCAUCCACACACAAAAAAAGUUAAGCU
rnacentral:lncRNA from 1 species